GUCUGAAUGGAAAAUAAGGGGUCAUGUGACAGGGUUCAUGUGACCUGGGUCACCACCUACCUGAAUCUAACAGAAAGUCGCUCUUAACAGAUAAAGAUGGCCAUUAACUGUCAUUUUUCUGUACUCUGCAUGACAGCUGUCAGGGAAAAUGAAUAUGUUCUGGCAGGAAAGAUCAUUGCUGUGUCUAUUGUACACGGGGGACCAGCACCACAUUUCCUGUCAAAGGACCUCGUUAACCACAUUGUAGGGAAUCCCAGUUUCGGUGCCACUGUGGAAGAUAUUACAGAUGAAGAGAUAGGGAGAGUUCUGCAUCAGGUAUGAAGUGACCUCUAUUCAAGUAGUGGGUUUACUAUGAGAGCACAUUAUUUAAUUCAGAGUAAGGUCAUAGUGAAAGGAACAGACCAGAAGUUUCAGAUCUCCACUUCUAUCAGUAAGACAAAAUUUAAGUAAAAAUAAUUUGAUCCCUGUUUUGUUUGAGUGGUUUACCAUUUGACUGACCAUUGCAAGAUUCUUGCCCUAUCAGGGAUGGGUUUUGCUAAGUCUUACAAAGUCUUUUUAACAGGUCCAGGAAGCAGAAUCUGUGGAAUCUCUGCAAAAUGUACUUUUGCAAAACAGCUCCAUGUUCCAGACUGCUGGAUGCUUCCUACAUGUGAAGACUUCUGAGGACAAGCAAACACUUGUGGAGGAAUACCUCAGAUGGUAUAUUCUACACAGAAACCAGAGUGUUAUUCAAAGGAAGUAACAGUCGGCAGAAAGAAGGCAAAGCACUUGGAUUUUGGGCUGAUUUUCUUCUUGAUUGUGAAGAAAAAGCUACUGCUGUGUCCCUAGAGGAUGUACUGAUGUUCGCUACAGGGCUCGCAUCCCUUCCACCUGCUGGAAUAACACCACUACCAUGCAUUGAGUUCUUAACAAAUUCACCAUUCCCUAUGUCAAACACCUGUGCAAAUACGCUAAAGCUCCCUCUCCUUGAGACCUACAGUGUCUUUAAGACAAACAUGGAGUUUGGCUUACAGAAUUCUCCA